rnacentral:rRNA from 1 species
UACGGAAGGCAGCGGUGGGGAAUAUUGCACAAUGGGCGAAAGCCUGAUGCAGCUAUGCCGCGUGUAUGAAGAAGGCCUUAGGGUUGUAAAGUACUUUCAUCGGGGAGGAAAAAACAAAACUAAUAAUUUUAUUUCUUGACGUUACCCGAAAAAGAAGCACCGGCUAACUCCGUGCCAGCAGCCGCGGUAAUACGGAGGGUGCUAGCGUUAAUCAGAAUUACUGGGCGUAAAGAGCACGUAGGUGGUUUUUUUAAGUCAGAUGUGAAAUCCCUGGGCUUAACCUGGAAACUGCAUUUUGAAACUGAAAUACUAGAGUAUCGUAGAGGGAGGUAGAAUUCUAGGUGUAGCGGUGAAAUGCGUAGAUAUCUGGAGGAAUACCUGUGGCGAAAGCGGCCUCCUAAACGAAUACUGACACUGAGGUGCGAAAGCGUGGGGAGCAAACAGGGAUUAGAUA